GAACCAUGUGCCAGAGACACCGGAUGCACUUGCCGAGCACACCGCAACCUCCUGCUCGACUCGCCAGAACCACCUGCUGGAGAUGCCAAAAUCACCUGCUGGCUUGGCCAGAACCACGUGGCAGACUCUAUGGAAUGACAAGCCGGGCAUGCCGGAACCACCUCCCAGACCUGCCGGAAUCAUGUGCUGGACACGCUGGAACCACCUACUGGACAGACCGGAACCACAUACCGGACCUGCCUGAACCACCAGCCGAGCAUGCCGGACCCACCUGCUCGACUCGCAGGACCCACCUACCGGACAUGCCAAAAUCAGCUGCUGGCUAUGCCAGAAACAAUUGCCGGACAAUCCGGAAUCACCUGCCUGGCAUGCCGGAACCACCUCUCAAAUGUACCAGAACCACGUGCAAGAGACGCUGGAAGCACCUGCCAAGCAUGCCGGAACCACCUGAUCCACUCCCCAGAACCACCUGCCGGACCCGCCUGAACCACCUGCCGGCUAAGUGGGAACCACUUGGCGGACACUCCGGAAUCACCUGCCGUGCAUGCCGGAACCACCCCUCAGACGUGCCUGAAAAACGUGCCGGACACGCCAGAACCACCUCCUGGACUGACCGGAACCACCUUCCGGACAUGCCUGAACCACCUUAAGAGCACGCUGGAACCACCUUCUCGACUUGCUGGAACCAUCUGCCGGAUACGCCAAAAUCACCUGCCGGCUAUGCCAGAACCACUUGGCCGACACUCCGGAAUAACCUGCCGUUCAUGCCGGAACCGCCCCUCAGAUGUGCCAGAACCACGUGCUGGAUGCCCCAGACCACUUCCGUGAAAGACCGGAAGCACGUGCUGAGCAUGCCGGAAACACCUGCUCGACUCCCGGGAACCGCCUCCGGGGAAACUGUCAUAGAAAUGCAGGUCAAACGGCCUUUCUUGCCAAGCCUUAACUCGCCACUUUAGAACUUCUGCUUCUGCCACAAUUGCACCUUGCCCACCCGGCUCAGAUGAAAUGCCUACAUCUUCCCCUGAAGCAACUGGGCUGAGUCCCAAAUGAUUGAGCGUCCAUGUGCUUAGGAGCCGAUAGACUGUACGCCUUUUUCCAACCACCAUUGUGCACUGCUGGAGAAAGUGUCGGAAAGCAGCUAUGUCAGAAAGACCCCUUUGCUCUCAGCCGUGCCCUCCAUUGCUCUAGACGUGGAAUGCACAAUGCACUGGCUCCACCCCUCAAGGGGCAUCAAGCCACAGACCACCUUGCUUCCAUCUCUUUAGGAAGCUGAGAAGGAACUCGCUUUCAACAGUGAUCUUACAGCAUCCAGGGAACAUUUCAUACAAAGGCAGCUGAAACGCCGUUUCUUUUCAGCCCUUAACUCGCCGAUUUGGAACUUCUGUUUCUGCCACAUUUCCACCUUGCCAACCGAGCUCCGACGAAAUGCCUACAUCUUCCCCUUCAGCAACGGGGAUGAGGCCCAUAUGACUGUGCUUCCACAUGCUUAAGAGGAGAGAGACAAUAGGCUUUUUACACAUCACGAUUGUGCACUGGUGGAGAGAGUUUCAGAAUGCACCUAUGUCAGAAAGGUCCCUUUGAUCUCAGCCGUGCCCCGAAUUGCUCUAGAGGAGGAAGGCACAAUGCACUGGCUCUGGCUCCACCCCUCAGUGGCAGACGAACCACAAACCUUCUUGCGUCCAGCUCUUUAGGACGCUGAGAAAGAGCUCACAUUCCAUAGUGCUCUUAGAGCGUCCAGGGAACAUCUCAUACAAAGGCAGCUGAACACCGUUUCUUCCAGCACUUCACUCGCCAAUCUGGAACAUCUGCUUGUGCCACAUUUCCACCUUGUCAACCCGGCUCAGACGAAAUGCCUACAACUUCCCUUAAGCAAUGGGGACAAGGCCCAGAUGAUUGCGGUUCCACCUGCUUAGUAGGAGAGAGACAAUAGGCUUUUAACCAACCGCCCUUGAGCCAUGGUUGUGGGAGUGUCAGAAAGCACCAAUGUCAGAAAAGGCCCUUUGCUCUCAGCCGUGCCCUCCAUUGCUCUAGAGGUGGAAGGCACAAAGCACUGCCUCCAUCCUUCAAUUGGAGACAAGCCAUAAACUGUCCUGCUUCCAGCUCUUUAGGAAGAUGGGAAAGCACUCGCAUUCCACAGUGCUCUUACAGCAUCCUGGGAACAUCUCAUACAAAGGCAGCUGAACGCCCUGUCUUUUCAGCCCUUAACUCGCCAAUCUGCAACAUCCGUUCUGCCGCAUUUCCACCUUGCCAACCCGGCUCAGACAAAAUGCCUACAUCUUCCCCUGAAGCAACUGGGCUGAGUCCCAAAUGAUUGAGCGUCCACGUGCUUAGGAGGCAAUAGACUGCACGCCUUUUUCCAACCACCAUUGUGCACUGCUGCAGAGAGUGUCGGAAAGCAGCUAUGUCAGAAAGGCCCCUUUGCUCUCAGCCGUGCCCUCCAUUGCUCUAGAGGUGGAAGGCACAAAGCACUGCCUCCAUCCUUCAAUGGGAGACAAGCCAUAAACUGUCUUGCCUCCAGCUCUUUAGGAAGCUGAAAAACAACUCGCUUUCCACAGUCCUGUUACAGCAGACCAGGAACUUCUCAUACAAAGGCAGCUCAAAUGGCAUUUCUUCCCAGCCCUUAACUCGCAGCUUUAGAACUUCUGCUUCUGCCGCAAUUGCACCUUGCCAAUCCGGCUCAGG
ensembl:lncRNA